rnacentral:rRNA from 1 species
AUCAACUUUCGAUGGUAGGAUAGAGGCCUACCAUGGUGGUAACGGGUAACGGGGUGUUAGGGCACGACACCGGAGAGGGAGCCUGAGAAACGGCUACCACAUCCAAGGAUGGCAGCAGGCGCGCAAAUUACCCAAUCCCGACACGGGGAGGUAGUGACGAUAAAUAACAAUACGGGGUUCUUUAGGAUCUCGUAAUUGGAAUGAGUACAAUUUAAAUCUCUUAACGAGGAACAAUUGGAGGGCAAGUCUGGUGCCAGCAGCCGCGGUAAUUCCAGCUCCAAUAGCGUAUAUUAAAGUUGUUGCAGUUAAAAAGCUCGUAGUUGAAUUUCGGGGUUAGUAGGUUGGUCAUGCCUCUGGUAUGUACUGGUCUCACUGAUUCCUCCUUCCUUAUGAACCGUAAUGCCAUUAAUUUGGUGUUGCGGGGAAUUUGGACUGUUACUUUGAAAAAAUUAGAGUGUUUAAAGCAAGCUAACGCUUGAAUACAUUAGCAUGGAAUAAUGAAAUAGGACGUUCGAUCUUAUUUUGUUGGUUUCUAGGAUUGACGUAAUGAUUAAUAGGGAUAGUUGGGGGCAUUAGUAUUCAAUUGUCAGAGGUGAAAUUCUUGGAUUUAUUGAAGACUAACUACUGCGAAAGCAUUUGCCAAGGAUGUUUUCAUUAAUCAAGAACGAAAGUUAGGGGAUCGAAGACGAUCAGAUACCGUCGUAGUCUUAACCAUAAACUAUGCCGACUAGGGAUCGGAUGAUGUUAAUUUUUUAAUGACUCAUUCGGCGCCUUACGGGAAACCAAAGUGUUUGGGUUC